rnacentral:lncRNA from 1 species
CUUAGAAGCAAGUCACGGGUCCUAACUCACACUCAAGAGGAGGGAGCCACACAAAGCAAUGACCAUCAGGGGAAGAGAUUAGGGGUGCCACCUUAGAGUUUGCCACACGGUCUUCCUAAGAAAACCAAGAUCUAGAAUUUCUAGUAGAAUUUUCUUUUGUUCGUCUAAGAAUCAAUUGAUUCUUAAUUCUAAGCUUGAAGUGUAACUGCAUUUUUAUGGGGGCAGAGGAGAUGCUGGUCAGCCAGAGGAUACAGGGGAAGAACAGAAAAGGCAUAACAAGAGGGAAGAAGAGGUGACUGGAGAAAGAGAGACAUAUUCACGCCACAGUGAGCAGAAGAGUUACACUGGAGCAAUGGCUUUAUAUAAGAAGAGAAGUUUUAGCUCUCUCUUGUCCCAUAUCCAGCUUACUAUGUAAGAAAAUUACACAAGUUUUUUUCAAUUUCAUUUUUUCUCUAUGUCAGUGAGACACCCAGUUUUUCUUGUCAAUGACAGCUCCCUCAUGGUGUCCCUCAUCCUUUGUGCCUCAACUAAAAUGACAAAUUCCACUCUCCCACAUCAGUUUGUUUCUUCCUCACUUAUACUUAGAAGAAUAGACCUCAUAAUUUUAACUCAGAGUUCAGCUGACUCUCUCCUGUCCCUUAAGAUUAGUGUGUGUCCCUAAAACUGUAACCUGGGGUAGUAGAGAACCUUCUCCAAUGUCUGCACAGUCACUAAGGGCUUCCUUCUUGGGUCCCUUCUGGCUGAAGGCUCCUUUGAGCUUUUCUGGAUUCUACUUUCUAUCACAUCACCUUCUGCCAGUGCCUUUCCACACAUCAUUCUGAGGUUACCAAAUCUAAGGGCUACUUUAAAAGACAGAGGUAAAGUUUUAAAUAUACAGAUGGAAGGUGUUUUCACAUGACAAAAAUGUAAACCAUUUGUUUCUAAACAUGAAGAACCUCUUAAGAUUUUAGUUAGCUUCCCACUACCACUACCAACAGCCCUCACACAAUAUGAUCUCACUGGGUCUUUUUUUUUUUCCAUGUCUCUCUCACUUAUAGUUUUUCUCUUAUUUGGUAUAGGAAAGAAAACAAUAAAAAGUCAUCUGAUUUCCUCAUACUGAGUAGCUCCCCAUGUGAUUCGGGUGUUGUGGGUACUCAUGUCCUGGUGACUGUACCUCCCAGCUCAAGCUGCCAAUCACGGUAUUUUCCCUAAAAUGUUCCCUUCCCAAAAUGGAAACCUCAUGUUCGUUGUCAAGAUAAUAAAA